rnacentral:rRNA from 1 species
UAGGGAAUCUUCGGCAAUGGACGAAAGUCUGACCGAGCAACGCCGCGUGAGUGAAGAAGGUUUUCGGAUCGUAAAACUCUGUUGUUAGAGAAGAACAAGGACGUUAGUAACUGAACGUCCCCUGACGGUAUCUAACCAGAAAGCCACGGCUAACUACGUGCCAGCAGCCGCGGUAAUACGUAGGUGGCAAGCGUUGUCCGGAUUUAUUGGGCGUAAAGCGAGCGCAGGCGGUUUCUUAAGUCUGAUGUGAAAGCCCCCGGCUCAACCGGGGAGGGUCAUUGGAAACUGGGAGACUUGAGUGCAGAAGAGGAGGGUGGAAUUCCAUGUGUGGCGGUGAAAUGCGUAGAUAUAUGGAGGAACACCAGUGGCGAAGGCGGCUCUCUGGUCUGUAACUAACGCUGAGGCUCGAAAGCGUGGGGAGCAAACAGG